UGAUCAUGGCUCAGGACGAACGCUGGCGGCGUGCCUAACACAUGCAAGUCAAAGGAAAACAGCUUCGGCUGCAAGUACUUGGCGCAAGGGUGAGUAAGGUAUAGGUAAUUUGCCUACAGGACAGGGAUAACCCCGAGAAAUCGGGGACAAUACCUGAUGAUGCAGCGGAACCGCAUGGUUAUGUUGUUAAAUGAGGAAUCGCCUGUAGAUAAGCCUAUAUUCCAUCAGGUAGUUGGCGGGGUAAAAGCCCACCAAGCCUACGACGGAUAGCUGGUCUGAGAGGAUGAUCAGCCACAUUGGAACUGAGACACGGUCCAGACUCCUACGGGAGGCAGCAGUGAGGAAUAUUGCGCAAUGGGCGAAAGCCUGACGCAGCAACGCCGCGUGGAUGAAGAAGUUCUUCGGAAUGUAAAGUCCUUUUGUAGAGGAAGAAUAGCCUGUUUUACGGGUGUGACGGUACUCUGCGAAUAAGCCACGGCUAACUCCGUGCCAGCAGCCGCGGUGAUACAGGGGUGGC
rnacentral:rRNA from 1 species